GUUUGUUUCUGCUUACAUGGAUUUAGACUCUAGUAUAGGGUUCUCAUAGUCAUUCUUUUAAUUUGCGUUUGCCUGAGUUGAUCCAGUUAUUCUUGCUUUGUAUUUAUGGGCGUUUACAUUAUAAUAAUUUCACUCCUACAUAGUCAUCUUACACAUUCAGGUAUUGACCAUCCAAUCUUUUAUGGUAAUACACUUUACAACGGACAAAUGUCAGCUUUUACCUCAAAAACUAACAAAACAUAAAAGCAAACUUAUAUAAAGUAGAAAUACUGUUGCCUGCAUAUAUAUGGCUUAUUUUGGCUUCAAUAUUGAUUCACUUGCACAUCUAUGCAUCAGACUAAAACUCCUUUAUUUUUAAACCAGUUGCAGGUAUGAUAAGAGUUAUGUUUCUCUAAUAUAUUUUAUGGUGAUAUGAUAUUAAACCCCCAUGACGGGUUGGUGCUAGAUUUUCGUAUAUUCAAGACAUAGUUUUUCGAACAGUUUAAUUGAGGUCUGGAGCUGGCAUGUUGGUAACUGUUCGUAGUCCCUUGUUGAUUUUUGUAAUAUCGUCAUUUUCAAUUUUUGUUUUGUUUAAUUUGUUACUUAUUCUGAUAUUGGACUCUUUAUGAUUUUUACUGUGCGUAUUGUUGUGCGUUGCUUCUUCUUCAUUUAGUUGAGAUUUUGAAAAACUUGUUUAACCCCUCGCCAUUUAAGUAUCUGUUCCAAGUCUGGGGCCUCUGGCCUAUGUUAGCUUUGGGAUGAACUUUUAUUUUAGAUUUGAGUUUAGUAUGACAUUCAUUAUCACUAAUCUGGUAAAAAAAAAAAAAAAAAAAAAAAUCAUUAUGGAUGAAGCCAUUUCUGGUUUUUAGAGGGAUUGCUUCAGAUGCUUGGCCCCAACUGCAGAUGUUUAUCCUGCUAUUACCCCAAGGGAAUUUUUACAGUUAUUUCAGACCUUUAGUAACCGUUUAUUUGUAAGUUCCACACCACCCGUACAUACCAUGUAUCAGAGAGGACAGUCUUUCUUUUUUUCAUGAGUUCGGUUCUCUAGUUGAUUUAUUGAAUACAUUUCCUAUCUCUUUAUGAAUUGUUAAGGUAUUGCUUACUUGUACAUUUUGUAUCUCUCUCAACAAAAAUUGUGACAUUACUAAUUUACUAGGAUUGGAUAUUUUUUUUUUAGUAAUUUAAUGUGUGUCAAAAUUGAGGUUUGAGUUUUUAAGAAGGUAUUAAACACUCCAGGCCAGAGUCAUGCUGAAGUUUAGCAAUAUUUUCUUAUCUUGUGUUGGUAUGAAUUCAGUGUAUUUGAAGCUGUCCUUUCAUUGAUUUUGGAGGAUUAUUAAAUGGGUUGGAGAUCCAAUACUGACACUUAAUACAGGGUUUUACAGAAGAAUUAUUAUUUUUCUUGAUUUAUUAUGCUUUAAAUUGUAUUCGUAUUACUAUGUAGCUAUACUUCCAUGUAGCUAUUUGCCGUACAGAAUUGUAGGAGAUUUUUAAUGUUUGAUGUUUGAAUAGUAGAAUCCUCAAUAGUAAGUAUGUUUUUGUAGCAGACUGACAUCCUCCAGAUGGGGUUGACUUAGGUCUAGGCACGGAAAUGAAUUUUUGUGGUGGCAUAUUUGUCGCAUGUUAAAAGUUAACUCAGAAUAUAUAAUGAAACUAUAAGGAUCCAACAUAUUUUUAAUAAACUUGUAGUGGUAUUGACACAGGUAGUUCUAGAGUGGGUCUUUGCCAAUGAGAUGAAGAACA
rnacentral:lncRNA from 1 species